rnacentral:rRNA from 1 species
CCUACGGGUGGCAGCAGUGGGGAAUUUUGCGCAAUGGGGGCAACCCUGACGCAGCAACGCCGCGUGAGUGAUGAAGGCCUUCGGGUCGUAAAGCUCUGUCAGAGGGGAAGAAAUGCAGGUGGUGAACAACCAUUCUGUUUGACGGUACCCUCAAAGGAAGCACCGGCUAACUCCGUGCCAGCAGCCGCGGUAAUACGGAGGGUGCGAGCGUUGUUCGGAAUUAUUGGGCGUAAAGCGCGUGUAGGCGGUUUGUUAAGGCUGAUGUAAAAGCCCCGGGCGAAACCGGGGGAGUGCAUUGGAUACGGGCAGACUUGAGUACGGGAGAGGAGAGUGGAAUUCCCAGUGUAGGAGUGAAAUCCGUAGAUAUUGGGAGGACCACCGGUGGCGAGGGCGGCUCUCGGGACUAAUACUGACGCUGAGGCGCGAAAGCAAGGGGAGCAAACGGGAUUAGAUCCCCCG